CCUACGGGAGGCUGCAGUGAGGAAUAUUGGUCAAUGGACGAGAGUCUGAACCAGCCAAGUAGCGUGAAGGAUGACUGCCCUAUGGGUUGUAAACUUCUUUUAUAAAGGAAUAAAACGAGGCACGUGUGCCUUUUUGCAUGUACUUUAUGAAUAAGGAUCGGCUAACUCCGUGCCAGCAGCCGCGGUAAUACGGAGGAUCCGAGCGUUAUCCGGAUUGAUUGGGUUUAAAGGGAGCGUAGAUGGGUUGUUAAGUCAGUUGUGAAAGUUUGCGGCUCAACCGUAAAAUUGCAAUUGAUACUGGCAGUCUUGAGUACAGUUGAGGUAGGCGGAAUUCGUGGUGUAGUGGUGAAAUGCUUAGAUAUCACGAAGAACCCCGAUUGCGAAGGCAGCUUACUAAACUGUGACUGACAUUGAUGCUCGAAAGUGUGGGUAUCAAACAGGAUUAGAUACCCCGGUAGUC
rnacentral:rRNA from 1 species